rnacentral:lncRNA from 1 species
AUGAUGAACCUCUAGGUGCAGUUAUCGUGUGAUACAGUCCUACUAUCAUGGAUCCCUACAGGACGGAGGUCAUGGAUAACUCGUCAAACCCCUUCGUCUGUCAUAUGUCAAGAUUUAUUCGACUCGAGUUCGAUAGUGGAAAACUCUUUCUCCACUUUAUAUUACUGCCCUGGCCAAGGUCUUAGAACUCAGUCUAGCAAAU